GACGAACGCUGGCGGCGUGCUUAACACAUGCAAGUCGAACGGAAAGGCCCUGCUUUUGUGGGGUGCUCGAGUGGCGAACGGGUGAGUAACACGUGAGUAACCUGCCCUUGACUUUGGGAUAACUUCAGGAAACUGGGGCUAAUACCGGAUAGGAGCUCCUGCUGCAGGGUGGGGGUUGGAAAGUUUCGGCGGUUGGGGAUGGACUCGCGGCUUAUCAGCUUGUUGGUGGGGUAGUGGCUUACCAAGGCUUUGACGGGUAGCCGGCCGGAGAGGGUGACCGGCCACAUCGGGACUGAGAUACGGCCCAGACUCCUACGGGAGGCAGCAGUGGGGAAUAUUGCACAAUGGGCGGAAGUCUGAUGCAGCAACGCCGCGUGCGGGAUGACGGCCUUCGGGUUGUAAACCGCUUUCGCCUGUGACGAAGCGUGAGUGACGGUAAUGGGUAAAGAAGCACCGGCUAACUACGUG
rnacentral:rRNA from 1 species